rnacentral:rRNA from 1 species
AGAGCGAACGCUGGCGGCAGGCCUAACACAUGCAAGUCGAGCGCCCAGCAAUGGGAGCGGCAGACGGGAUAGUAACACGUGGGAACGUACCUUUCAGUUCGGAACAACCCAGGGAAACUUGGGCUAAUACCGAAUACGUCCGUAAGGAGAAAGAUUUAUCGCUGAAAGAUCGGCCCGCGUCUGAUUAGCUAGUUGGUGAGGUAAUGGCUCACCAAGGCGACGAUCAGUAGCUGGUCUGAGAGGAUGAUCAGCAUCACUGGGACUGAGACACGGCCCAGACUCCUACGGGAGGCAGCAGUGGGGAAUAUUGGACAAUGGGCGCAAGCCUGAUCCAGCCAUGCCGCGUGGAUGAUGAAGGCCUUAGGGUUGUAAAGUCCUUUCGGCGGGGAAGAUAAUGACGGUACCCGCAGAAGAAGCCCCGGCUAACUUCGUGCCAGCAGCCGC